rnacentral:rRNA from 1 species
CAGGUAGGAGUACCCGCUGAACUUAAGCAUAUCAAUAAGCGGAGGAAAAGAAACCAACCGGGAUUGCCUUAGUAACGGCGAGUGAAGCGGCAAAAGCUCAAAUUUGAAAUCUGGUACCUUUGGUGCCCGAGUUGUAAUUUGGAGAGGGCAACUUUGGGACCGUUCCUUGUCUAUGUUCCUUGGAACAGGACGUCAUAGAGGGUGAGAAUCCCGUGUGGCGAGGAGUGCGGUUCUAUGUAAAGUGCCUUCGAAGAGUCGAGUUGUUUGGGAAUGCAGCUCUAAGUGGGUGGUAAAUUCCAUCUAAAGCUAAAUAUUGGCGAGAGACCGAUAGCGAACAAGUACAGUGAUGGAAAGAUGAAAAGAACUUUGAAAAGAGAGUGAAAAAGUACGUGAAAUUGUUGAAAGGGAAGGGCAUUUGAUCAGACAUGGUGUUUUGCGCCCUCUGCUCCUUGUGGGUGGGGGAAUCUCGCAGUUCACUGGGCCAGCAUCAGUUUUGGUGGCAGGAUAAAUCCGUAGGAAUGUAACUUGCUUCGGGAAGUAUUAUAGCCUAUGGGAAUACUGCCAACUGGGACUGAGGACUGCGACGUAAGUCAAGGAUGCUGGCAUAAUGGUUAUAUGCCGCCCGUCUUGA